rnacentral:lncRNA from 1 species
AUCCGCGGGAGUGGGGUAGGAAUAGAGCCCUGAGGGACAGGGACUAUGGCGACGCGGGGGUGGGAGGUACAGAGAGGGGUGUCGAGCCUGGAGCAGGGCUAUGGCAGGGACACUCACUGGGGCAUGGGCAGCGACAGGCGAAGAAGGUUCAGGGCCAGGUGGACAGUCAUGUCUCAAUUCAGGAAAGAGAAGUGCAGGCAGGAUUGGGUGCGGGAGAGCCAGGCCCAUCACCAGCACCGAGUUAGGGGUCUGCAGAGCUGAUUGGAGGGUGGGUUUGGAGGGGCAAGGAAAACAGCAGCAGGCACUCCUGGAGUGGCCGCCUGUCCCCCUGCUCUCAGAGGGUACCUCCAGCUCAGAAGGACCCAGUCUGAGUCCAGGGUUUUCCGUGGAGAGGAUGGAGAAGCCUCAGUCCGCCAGCCCUCUCCCCAGUAGAAAUGCAGAAAGCUCACAGCUGGAAUUAGGGAGAGGAUGGGGAUACUAGUCAGUGAGCCAGCCUCCCCCGACCUAAGGCUAGAGGCCCAGAGAUUGUUUUCCCAUUGACUCUUCAUUUUCCACUGCCCAAGGAUGAACUCAAACACAGGAGAUAGGAGAUGAUUUGGAUGAAGUGAUAAAGAAAAGGCUUCACUCCAAGAAAAAAAAGAAAAAGAAAAGAAAAUGAAAAGACCUGCAGGAGCAAGAAGCCCUUUCCAGGGUGUGCUUAUGAGGAAGAAGGGAAUUAUGGUGAUAGCUACCACUUAAGCACUUACCUUGUUCCAGGUGCAAUAACGGUGUUUUACAGGCAUUAUUUUAUUUAGUCCCCCAAAAUAAAGCUAUUACGUACCUUUUUAUCAUUACCCCUAAUAAAACUAAUGAUUAGACUGUUUAAAAACCUACCUGGGUCAUACGGACAGUUACCAGUGGACCCAAGAUUCAAACCUUUGUAUUUCAGAGUCCAGAAUAUAUAUUUUUACCCCUACUUUGUAGGAUAAGAAAAUGCAGCCCAGUCAACCAGCCAAGGUCUACCAUUUGCUAUAGGUGUGUGGCCUUCGGCAAGUUAUCUAAUCUUUUCCUAUCUCAGCUCCUUCCUCUAAAAUAUCAGGAUAAUGGUAUCCACCUCUAUGGGUCGUGGGGAAGAAUAAACAGCAUGAUAUGCAUAAAGUCUCUUGCACAACCUAGCUGCUCAAUAAAUGGUAGCUUUUAUGCUUGUCUUAAAAAUAACAUUAAGUUAAUGUGAAAUAGUCAUUUUUGUAGGCCAAAAGUGGUCAUAUAAUAACAAUUUCAUAUGGUUCAACCUAAUAAUAAUCAGGCCCACCUCUAUGCCCCAAACUAGGUUUCUGCUUCUCUGACAGCCUGCCCUGGCUGAAAGUAGAAGGCGUGAGGGGAUUGAUGGUAUAGAUUGCAGAGGAAAGGCUAUGGAACGGAGAGGAAUUCAGCCUCUGAGCCCUUUUGUUGCAUUAACAUUACUUGCAGUAUUAGUGUGGGUCAGGAUGGGGAUGGUUACUAUGAAGUUAGAAGGACAUUUCUCCUUUGAUCUGGCUCACUGGCUUCUAGGAAUUUGCCUCCUUCUUUUUUUUUUUCUUUUCAUGAAGUCUUCCACUGCUUUGACUAUCUUUUUCUUCUAGGACACGAGAUGACCAAGGUUUCACAUAAUAAUGCUGUGGAGGAGUGGGAAGGUUGAGUGGAGGAAGGGAUAUCUGCCUCCAACCACGCUAGACCCGACCUGCUGUCACCGCCCGCCCCAGCUGGAUCCAGAAUGGAAACCUGGAAUAGCAGGCAAAGCCACCCCCGACACUCCAUGUUCCUCCCCAGAACCAGCUCCCUCUCCUACCAGCUGAAUUUUCAGGACAGAGCUGCCAGGUGGCCAGUCCACAGGUGGAAGUGGAAGGAGAUUGAAAGGACCUGGGAAGAGGUUCAUUGGUCAUGGUGCCUGGCUGGUGCUUUCCAAAGCCAAGGUUGCUGGUGUGUGCCUGACAGUUCCAUAGGAAGUAGGGACUUCUGGGAGGGAGGAGGAGGUGGAAGGUGCCCUGGUCAGCAAAGUGGGGUCCAAGCCUUCUAGUCCCAACUGGGCACAUCACUUCAUCUCUGAGAGUCUCAUUUUCUUCAGCCACAACUAAUGAACAAAGUCUCCUUCAGCUCCCAAAUCCGAAUAGCUUUAAGGAUAUCCCCUGCUUGCUGCUUGUUAUUAUGUCAGGCCCUGUGCUAAGCGCUUUGCAUAUAUUACCUCAUUUAAUCCCCAUUUUGGAAGUCAGGAAACAGCCUCUGAGACAUUUUGUAACUUAGCUAAGGUCACUCAGUUGACAAAUAGUGAAGUGAUGGGAUUCAGUAGCCUCUGCUGCUAGCCACUGCCUCAGGGCAGGUAAUUAUUUCUAUGAAUUCAGCAGGGCCAAGCCAACUAGACUAAGCAAAAGAAAUGAGGAUCCAAAAAAAUUCAUGCGCUUUUUCAUGCGCGGUGAAUGCAGGAAAAGUCAUAUAUAUAUAUGGCUAUGUAAAUCAGCAACUGCAAUAUUUGAAUCAGCAUGAAUAAAAAACCAUUCCUCUGUCUCUUAAAAAAAUAGGCAGAUCUGUUUUCUUCUUCCUCAUUUCUAUCUGAGCCUCUGUACCAAGGAGAAACGGGAAUAAGACAGGACUAGAUUCUUCCCAAACACCAGGUGAUGCGGUCAGUGAGGAGAGCUCCAGAAUCAAAAGAUGAAGAAGGACCUGCCUCUAGCCCCCAAGAGGUAUGCUGUUCUUCCCACACAUCUCAGCUCUCUCCCAGCACUGAGUCCAGCCCUCCACAGAAAGGGGAGGAAAAUGCCCACCCCUAGCCCUGCCCUUCCCCAACCCUCCACACAUCACUCCUUCUUCUUCCUGCCCUCCUGCACAGUCUGAUAAUGGUGCUCUCUCUUGCUCAGCCCUUUAGCCCUGCAGACCUAGGACAGGGCAUGACUUGGGAAGGCUCCUGUGCACAGGGUGCACUGGAGGAGGUGCCCCAGGCCCUGGGCCAUGGAGAUAAUUGUGUAUCUGCUUCUCUUUUACCUUUUGGGUGGGUAGCCUCUCCUUUUUUAAGGGACACUGACUUCAACCAUGUCUACUAAUCCCUCAGUAUGGCUCCCUGGGCACUCAAGAGCAACAGUUCCAGGCAGGGACCCCCACAUCCUACUCUAAUUACUACUGCAGACACAGAGGAGACCAAUUCCAUUCCUUCCCUGGCCUCUUGGAUUCUUUGUUUACUCACCUCUUUCCA